rnacentral:rRNA from 1 species
UUGAUCCUGGCUCAGAUUGAACGCUGGCGGCAGGCCUAACACAUGCAAGUCGAGCGGUAACAGGGGAAGCUUGCUUCUCGCUGACGAGCGGCGGACGGGUGAGUAAUGUAUGGGGAUCUGCCCGAUAGAGGGGGAUAACCACUGGAAACGGUGGCUAAUACCGCAUAAUCUCUUAGGAGCAAAGCAGGGGAACUUCGGUCCUUGCGCUAUCGGAUGAACCCAUAUGGGAUUAGCUAGUAGGUGGGGUAAUGGCUCACCUAGGCGACGAUCCCUAGCUGGUCUGA